CUUAAGCCCCGGUAGCAGUGAAAAUCCUUGUGAGUCGGGGUUCGGCUCACAAGAUUGCAACGAAUAGCGGGACUAAUG
rnacentral:sRNA from 1 species